rnacentral:rRNA from 1 species
UACGAAGGGGCUAGCGUUGUUCGGAUUUACUGGGCGUAAAGCGCACGUAGGCGGAUUGUUAAGUCAGGGUGAAUCCCAGAGCUCAACUCUGGAACUGCCUUUGAUACUGGCAAUCUCGAGUCCGGGAAGAGGUGAGUGGAACUCCUAGUGUAAGAGGUGGAAUUCGUAGAUAUUAGGAAGAACACCAGUGGCGAAGGCGGCCACCUGGCUCGGUACUGACGCUCAGGUUCGAAAGCGUGGGGAGCAAACAGGGAUU